GAUGAACGCUGGCUACAGGCUUAACACAUGCAAGUCGAGGGGAAACGACGGGGAAGCUUGCUUCCCCGGGCGUCGACCGGCGCACGGGUGAGUAACGCGUAUCCAACCUGCCUCUGACUGAGGGAUAACCCGUCGAAAGUCGGCCUAAUACCUCAUGGCAUCGUCUGCGGGCAUCCAACGACGAUUAAAGAUUUCAUCGGUCAGGGAUGGGGAUGCGUCUGAUUAGCUUGUUGGCGGGGUAACGGCCCACCAAGGCGACGAUCAGUAGGGGUUCUGAGAGGAAGGUCCCCCACAUUGGAACUGAGACACGGUCCAAACUCCCACGGGAGGCAGCAGUGAGGAAUAUUGGUCAAUGGGCGAGAGCCUGAACCAGCCAAGUAGCGUGCAGGAUGACGGCCCUAUGGGUUGUAAACUGCUUUUAUGCGGGGAUAAAGUGAGGGACGUGUCCUUUCAUUGCAGUACCGCAUGAA
rnacentral:rRNA from 1 species